CUUGCUUCAGAAGACUGGACACUCUUGCUUGUAGCUUCUGGCUUCAGUGUCAAGUAGGCCAGCAUUGCGACAUAAAGCACCAUUACUGGACAGAUCAUUACUGUGGAGAAGAUGGAUACAGCCCUGGGCAUCUUUUUGCUGAAGCAAUAAUAAUUAGCUUCCCAGCUCCAGAAGAUCCGCCGAUGAUGCAGACCAUUAAACUUGGAGCAAUUGCUAUGCACCUGCAAAUGUUCCUGUGACUGAUGAACUCUGACCUGAUGCCAACAAAGACACAGCAUAAAGCUUUGAACUCCAUUUCCCUAGAGAAUCCUGCAGCCCAGAAAAAGAAAAAACAAGGGAGAAGAUGAAUCAGACAAACCAUUACAGAAAUAAACUAUGAUAUUUGAAUCUCAUCAUGUUAUUGACUGGAAAGUUAGUUAAAAGACCUUAAGCAGAAAUGCAGCUGAGUCCAGAGUGAUUUCAUUACAAUGUGCUUUCUCGUCUGCAGAAACAUAUGGAUUUGAGCAUAUGCUUCCACUAACUGAAACGACUGCUACAUUGACAAGGAAUGCUAUAAACAAUGCCAUUCCACUUUCCAACAGGAAGUACUUUGUCGCAUUCUGUAUCGAAACAGAGGAAGCAGUAAAGGUAAGAAGCUAGUCUUGUGUUUAUUUGUAAGACAAUUUUUAUUACCCUAAUCUGAUCAUUUGAACGAUGGAUCUUUCUAGAUGUGACUAAAGCUGAAUGGAGAAAUAGGUUAUGCCUGCAUAAUUAUUCACUCAAAGACAUUAGAGAAACUUCAAUAACACAGGAAAAUUUUCAACAGGAAAAAUAGUAGGAAAAUAAAAUUUUGAAUUUACGGCAUGAUAAGAGCUCCUAGAAGAGCAAUGGAGUCUCUGGUGGCACUUCCAUUGCUCAAUUUUGGGAUGAACAUUCCCAUUGCCAUGUCCUUCACAUUAGGCUGGGCAUGUACCAUUACACUGAAGAAGCACCCCCCUACAAUCAUCAAUAGUACUGCAAUUGCUAGUUCUAGCUUUCGUAUCUGCAUUCAUUCGGGAAAUGAGGGAAAUCAAGAUCUACUUAACUCUGAAUCCUUGAAUUACUAACCAGGCCAUUGCUUUGUUUAUACUAAACGUGUGAGAUCAUCACUCUGUAUCACUGAUUUUACAUCUCAGCACGUGUAGUCAGUCCAACAUCAAUUGACUUAAGUUACAAUUUGGUUACUAAUACUUUUAUUUACUUUGGAGUGGACAUUUAUUAUAUUAUUAUAAUUAUAAUUUGGUCAUUAAUUUCCUUUGUUGUUGUUAUGAGAAUUGCGCUUACGCCAUAUUUCUGUAGCCCAAGAAGCAGAAGAGUAUUCAAUCCAGCCAGCAUGACCCCAGACCAUAAUGGUAUAUUGAGGAGUAAUUUGAGAGCAAAAGCGAUGCCUAUCACUGCACGUGUAUUGAACACAAACUAAUUAUAUUGUAAUAUAGAGUACUAAAAGAAGCCUGUGCUAAUUCCUGUUUCGUUUGCUGGUUUGCAGGAUAGGGUAAGAAUAGAAUGACUUUGGAUCUUGUUAAAUAGAGCUAUCUAGAUCCCUUCCCCCUUCAAAUAUCUUAUUCUUUUUAAUUUAUUGUUGAACUUGGAUUGCUAACUGGGAUCAAUCAAUAUUGUAUAUAUGAUAUGAGAGGUAAACCUUGUGGGAUGUCAGCAGCUAUGACGGAAACUUCAGCCAGUAUCCAGAGACAAUUUGCUGAGCGAGAUUGGAUUAUAAAUGCAAAUGCCAGUCCAAGGAGCACGAUCCAUAGCAACUGUCUCACCAAACAAGUUCAAAUUCAUCAGAAUUAAACGUACAAGAAGUUUCCAGGAUCAAGAUAGGCUACAGAGACCAGUAAACCAGGACCUACAUAGCUCAAGAACUUCUUCCAAGUUGGGGUCUCCUGUAUUUGCACCAAUGAGGCCAUUUCAUUCACAGUUUUGCCUUCUUUUCUUCGACCCACCUGCCCAAUUCAAGUAGACAUACCGCAUACGUACAUCGUACCCUGAAGACAUUUGCAACCGAUUUUGUUCACUAGCUAUAGUGUGCGAGGUAAUUAGCUCUACUUUAUAAAUCCUAUACAAGGGACACUUGUGAAAAUUACUUUACACCUACUCAAAUAAUCAAGCUAAGUCAAUUACACCAAACACAUUGCGGUUUGAUGGCA